UGUUAUUGCAGUUCUCCAACAUAUAUCUUCCCCUCCCUCGAUCUCCAUUAAUUUUCUCUUAAGUCCCCUCGUGCCUAUACCUUUAUUUCUCCAUUGGAUGAAAGUUCCUUUCACAAAUGUGAUGAGGAAUGCUUGAAGAAGCUAUUUUGUGCUUCCUUGAGAAGCAUACAUGGACUGCACUCAGAGAAUAUUAUAGCUGCGGUAGUUGUGGCAGAAGCUGAUGAGAUUUCUCCUUCCAGUUCUUCUCCAACAUCUUCCCCUCCCACUCUUCCUCCCUCUCCAUUUGCUACGCCCUUUGAUCUCUCUCCACUGGAUGGAACUUGUGUUCACGCAAAAUGUGCUCACGAAUGUGAUUUCCAUUGCUUUUUCCAUGUAUUUCCUACAAUGGCAUACAUGGAAUGUGUUCAACAUUGUAUGGAUCGUUGUGUUCAAAGGUCUUUACUGCCAACAGUAUCCGACAUCCUGACUCUUGGUUGUCCAGAGUUCUUGACAAACAUUUUUGAACAUGUCCUAGAGGCAAAGAAAAUUACUAGAAGGAAUUGAAGAAAGUGAAAGUGUUGCCAGGUCGCUUCUAGCUAGGUUGUGGUUCUACUGCAGACGAGUUAAAUUUGCUUACUAUAUAAACUUUGGCUUGUUUUUGCUUUUUACGAACUUGACCACCAGCUUGUAAUCCUCAAAUAAGAUUUUGGACUUGUGCUUA